GAAAUGUACAUAGUAAUUUUGCUUGCAGAGUUUGGCAAAUCCUUAGGAUUGCCAAUUAGUGGACAUUCAAAUGAAUGUCUUGUUAUAGGUUUCCGUUUCUGAGUAGUAACCUCCAUUUAAAGAAGAAACUCAAGGCCCAAAAAGGUACCGGUAGGAUUAUGGGUGUGUUAAUAUUUUAAAUAAAGUUUUGCGAUAUAUUGGUAUUUAGUGAAUCACUAACAAAAAAUAAUGAGAAAAACUAAAUUUUAUUUUAUAGUAAAC